AUGAAAGCCGAGGUAAUAUUUAUAAAUUCCUUCCCUAAGGAUGGAUGGAAUGUUCUGAGCUGCAGCAGAAAGCACCUUUUUGGGGAUGAAGGGAGGUGGUGUAAGUGCAGUUAUUCAGUGAUCCAAAGGAAAAGGGAACAAGGGUGUGGAGGGGCUGCUCCACGUCUUUUCUGGAAGCACGGGCUGGUCCACACGCCUGGGCUCCUCGCUCACGUCUCCGGGGCCUCCCUCCCAUCCAGGAAGGCUUGGGGCCUCCUUUCUGAUGCUCUGGACCCCUCACCACCCCACCCUACUCAACGAGGCCAGGGACCCACGCCUGACAAAUAUGGCAAAACCCAGCGAGGCACAAUCCCCCUCGACCUUGAUGCCGGAUUCGCACCUGCUGGCAGAAGGGAGGCCCAUGCAUCACCAACCCAUGUGUGCUGGUUCCCUGAGGCUCAAGGUUAUGAGAGGGUCAUCUGAUGCCUCUGGGAGCCAGGGUUUAAUGCAGGAGGCACGUCUCUUACUGCUCUGGCAUCACGGGGGCCUCUCCAGUGCUGGAGUCUUCACUCUACACUUCCCAGCAGGGAAGUAAAUGCAGGGAAACCAAGGACACAGACCAGUGUUCCUUCCACCCUGUAAUCCACUCAGAUCUUAGAGCUCUAUGUGGAUUUCUAACCACCUUUUGCUGCCAACUCAGC
rnacentral:lncRNA from 1 species